UUUACUUCUUACUUUAACGACCUUUAUAAUUCAUUCAUUGCAGGGUAGAAAGCAAUAACGUUUUUAAUGGUCGGAAUUCGGUAUUGGGUUGAGGUUUGCUUGAAAUUUGAUCUGUCUUCAUGAUUAGUUAAAUGACACACCUGUUGUUGGGUUGUUUUCUUAAUUUGCUUUAAUCUUUGGCCUUAUUGGCUUAUUCUCAUUCUUGUAGUUAUUAUUAUCCUUGUCAUUAUGUAAUUUGUGAAUAAGUGUAAAAGUUAGAACUGAUGUCUUUUUCUUUGUUCAAAAGUGAUAUACCAAUUACCAUGGCUCUAAAGACUAAAGUGCAAGUUUCACGUCGAGGUGCUUAUUUCUCUGAUUUUUCUUUCCAAAGUUGAUUACCUUUCCUGCAUAUGGUAUAUGGAUCCACUUUGUUAUUAUUUAUCCCAUGGUUGGUGUAGGGCAGAUUCGACAACAAUAGAAUAAUGUGUUCUGCAAUGUGUUACUUUCAAGUUAGUUUUCUACUUAAUCAAAGUGUUCCUCCGGACUUGCCGUUCAAAAAUAAAAAAAAAGGUGUUCCUCUAGAUUAUUGAAUGCUACAAUGCUAGGUCCUCUUCAUUUUAUUAUUGAAUGGCAUCUAUGCAUCCACAUUAACUCUGGUUUUUGCUUAGUUCUUUCCAAACAUAUUGAAAACCAAAGCUGUUCAUGUAGGAUGAUGGUAAUCCGGCAUGGAUUGUUCCCUGUCACAUCUUCAUUGGUAGAGAAGGUACGAGAGGAAAAUCGAUCAGUUUUGAUCCUAAGGAGCCUUUGAGGGUUAAUGUUUUGUUUCAGCACAUUCGGAAAAUGCUGUCAAGUGAGACUAGUGUGAUAGUUAAGACAGGGGACUUUGGUUCAAUUACCAGAAACUAAAAUUGCCCAAGGGAUGUGGUUAUGAGUUCCAGAUGCAGUUUGGAUCAGUUGGCUGGUCAGUAGGUGCAACCCUUGAAUAUGCACAGGCUGCUCGAAAUAACCGAGUUAUGGCUUGCAUUGGGGAUGGUAGUUUCCAGGUUCAUAUAACACAAGGAGACCAUGAGGGGAAUGCAAUGAUUGUAUCAUGGGUAUCUUCGUUUUGCCGAGUAAAAAAAAAAAACUGUGGCUGAACCUGGCUCCAGUGAAGUGCUCUACUUGACUGAUAACAACACGGAUAAGUACAAGGCCGUGGGUAGAGUUGUCACCUAUAAAUUUAGACAACUAUACUUCUGGUUACAUCCAUCAUUGCACCGUCAGAGACCUGCAGGCGAGUUUCAAUACUAUUUCAUUGUUCAUAUAUGACCAUUUUGUCUUCUUCUCCAUGUGAGUUUGUCUUAGUCUCUAGCGGUUGGAAUUUGUGUGCAGUUCAGCACAAAAUACUACUAUGAGGUUGGGAUUGACCACACAAGAAGGAUGUUUUGGUUUACAACCCUUCCUAAAACCGGUCCAGAUGUGCCAUAUACUUUUGGUCUCAUAGGGGAUUUAGGUUAGACUUUUGAUUCAAACAAGACACUUACCCAAUACCAGUUGAACCUGGCAAAGGGUGAAACACUGUUGUUUGUAGGAGACCUAUCUUAUGCGGAUGACUAUCCAUUUCAUGACAAUGUAAGAUGGGAUACAUGGGGAAGAUUCACCGAGAGAAGUGUUGCUUAUCAACCUUGGAUCUGGACUGCCGGGAAUCAUGAGAUUGACUUCGCCCCUGAACUUCUUGACAUGUUUAUGGGUUGAUAAAGAAGUGUUGUGACUUUUUGCUGAAGAUAUAGGUAUGAUCUUGCUAGUGUGAUGGCUGUCAUUAUCGCUUGGUUGAUUGAAGCCUUUUUGUUGAUACUUAUGGGAUGGAGAGAUUUUGGAAGGAUUGUUUUGGUUGAAGCCUUUUUGUUAAUAUUUUGGUGUAAGGUUUGAACUCCACUUUUGGAAUAUAUAGAUGUUUUGGAAAGUCUUUUUAUUGAUAUUUAGUGACAAGGCUUGUACUCUACUUUUGGGAUACAUAGAUAUUUUGGAAGGCCUUUUUGUUGAUAUUUGGUAACAAGGCUUGUACUAGAUAAAAAUGUUGGAAGGAGAUUUAGUAUAUUGAAUUUCUUUUGUAAUGGUAAUCGCUUUGAUGUUUGGAGACA